GACGAACGCUGGCGGCGUGCUUAACACAUGCAAGUCGAACGGAAAGGCCCUGCUUUUGUGGGGUGCUCGAGUGGCGAACGGGUGAGUAACACGUGAGUAACCUGCCCUUGACUUUGGGAUAACUUCAGGAAACUGGGGCUAAUACCGGAUAGGAGCUCCUGCUGCAUGGUGGGGGUUGGAAAGUUUCGGCGGUUGGGGAUGGACUCGCGGCUUAUCAGCUUGUUGGUGGGGUAGUGGCUUACCAAGGCUUUGACGGGUAGCCGGCCUGAGAGGGUGACCGGCCACAUUGGGACUGAGAUACGGCCCAGACGCCUACGGGAGGCAGCAGUGGGGAAUAUUGCACAAUGGGCGGAAGCCUGAUGCAGCAACGCCGCGUGCGGGAUGACGGCCUUCGGGGUGUAAACCGCUUUCGCCUGUGACGAAGCGUGAGUGACGGUAAUGGAUAAAGAAGCACCGGCUAACUACGUG
rnacentral:rRNA from 1 species